rnacentral:rRNA from 1 species
AACGAACGCUGGCGGCAUGCCUAACACAUGCAAGUCGAACGAGACCUUCGGGUCUAGUGGCGCACGGGUGCGUAACGCGUGGGAACCUGCCCUUAGGUUCGGAAUAACUCCCCGAAAGGGGUGCUAAUACCGGAUAAUGUCUUCGGACCAAAGAUUUAUCGCCUUUGGAUGGGCCCGCGUUGGAUUAGCUAGUUGGUAGGGUAAAAGCCUACCAAGGCGACGAUCCAUAGCUGGUCAGAGAGGAUGAUCAGCCACACUGGGACUGAGACACGGCCCAGACUCCUACGGGAGGCAGCAGUGGGGAAUAUUGGACAAUGGGCGAAAGCCUGAUGCAGCAAUGCCGGGUGAGUGAUGAAGGCCUUAGGGUUGUAAAGCUCUUUUACCCGGGAUGAUAAUGACAGUACCGGGAGAAUAAGCACCGGCUAACUACGUG